UACAGAGGGUGCAAGCGUUAAUCGGAAUUACUGGGCGUAAAGCGUGCGCAGGCGGUUGUGCAAGACCGAUGUGAAAUCCCCGGGCUUAACCUGGGAAUGGCAUUGGUGACUGCACGGCUAGAGUGUGUCAGAGGGGGGUAGAAUUCCACGUGUAGCAGUGAAAUGCGUAGAGAUGUGGAGGAAUACCGAUGGCGAAGGCAGCCCCCUGGGAUAACACUGACGCUCAUGCACGAAAGCGUGGGGAGCAAACAGG
rnacentral:rRNA from 1 species